rnacentral:rRNA from 1 species
UACCAGCACCCCGAGUGGUCGGGACGUUUAUUGGGCCUAAAGAAUCCGUAGCCGGUUCUACAAGUCUUCCGUUAAAUCCACCUGCUUAACAGAUGGGCUGCGGAAGAUACUAUAGAGCUAGGAGGCGGGAGAGGCAAGCGGUACUCGAUGGGUAGGGGUAAAAUCCGUUGAUCCAUUGAAGACCACCAGUGGCGAAGGCGGCUUGCCAGAACGCGCUCGACGGUGAGGGAUGAAAGCUGGGGGAGCAAACCGG